CUCCUUGCACACACCGCCCGUCGUUUCAUCGAAGCUGGCCUUUAGUGAGGUAGUGUCUAAUUGGCAUUAUCGAGUUUGAGGUCAGUGACGAGGGAA
rnacentral:rRNA from 1 species